rnacentral:rRNA from 1 species
UUUUUAUGGAGAGUUUGAUCCUGGCUCAGGACGAACGCUGGCGGCGUGCCUAACACAUGCAAGUCGAACGGUCCGGUAUCCAACACCGAGCGCUUCAAAGGAAUUUUGAGGAGCCUGCGAGUGCGCGAACGAAGAGAGCGCACCACACUUUUAAAAAGUGCCAACACAGGCGGAGCAAAAUAGGAGUGGAGAAAUCGGUGUUGGGUAUUGGAUAGUGGCGAACGGGUGAGUAAC